CCCAACCUACGGGAGGCAGCAGUGAGGAAUAUUGGUCAAUGGGCGGGAGCCUGAACCAGCCAAGCCGCGUGAAGGAAGAAGGCGCCAGGCGUCGUAAACUUCUUUUGUCGGGGAACAAAGGGCGCCACGCGUGGCGUUGUGAGUGUACCCGAAGAAAAAGCAUCGGCUAACUCCGUGCCAGCAGCCGCGGUAAUACGGAGGAUGCGAGCGUUAUCCGGAUUUAUUGGGUUUAAAGGGUACGUAGGCGGUCCGGGAAGGCAGCGGUAAAAGCCCGGGGCUCAACCCCGGCGAGCCGUUGAAACGAG
rnacentral:rRNA from 1 species